rnacentral:ncRNA from 1 species
AGGCAAGAUGUGUAAUGUUAUAUAACAUGGCAAGCCUUGGUUAUAUAAAUUACCCGACUUAUUCGCUUUCAGCUCAACGUGGCAUCUUGUCCUGCGGAGCU